rnacentral:misc_RNA from 1 species
GAUGAAGAACGCAGCGAAAUGCGAUAAGUAAUGCGAAUUGCAGAAUUUCCGUGAGUCAUCGAAUCUUUGAACGCACAUUGCGCCCACUAGUAUUCUGGUGGGCAUGCCUGUUCGAGCGUCAUUUCAACCCUCAAGCCUUAGUUGCUUGGUGUUGGGAGCUUAUCUUGCCGAAAGGCGGACAACUCCUUAAAACUAUUGGCGGAGUCGCGGUGACCCCAAGCGUAGUAAAUCUUUUUUUUCUCGCUUUAGGUGUUAACGCUGGCUUUCUAGCCGUUAAACCCUCUAAAUUUUUAGUGGUUGACCUCGGAUCAGGUAGGACUACCCGCUGAACUUAAGCAUAUCAAUAAGCGGAGGA